rnacentral:rRNA from 1 species
AGGACGUGAAACCGGUAGGGUGGAAGCAGAUAAAGUUGACGAACGUCUGUCGUAUUCAGAACUACAAUUUGUGGUUUGUUUUUACGAUCGAUGUGGGCUGGCGUCUUUGGUUAACUUAGUGUCUGGCGGCAAUGGUGACCCUGCGGAGGGAUACUCGGUUGUCGUGCGAUGCUUGGUAUGGCUAGAGGUUCGCUGGUUUUAUAGUCAUCGCUUUAUCUGACCCGUCUUGAAACACGGACCAAGGAGUGUACCGCUUACGCGAGUCUUAGAGUGUGUCAAAACUUUGAGGCGUAACGAAAGUAAAUGUGGAUUUAUUCACUGACUUGGGAUACGUUGUCUUUUUUGGAUAGCGUUGGACCAUGGUUUUAUCGUAAUCGCUUGCGAUGCGGUGAAAAUAGAGCGUAAGCGGUGCGACCCGAAAGAUGGUGAACUAUGCCUGAGCAGGA